CCGCAACCUAGACACCUUUCUUGCUUGCACAUAACAAAGAUUGCCAACUUCCUACUCUGGAAUAAAAGGGGCCCUCACUGCUCUCCUUCCUAUCUCCUCUACUCAGCAAAUUCCACAUUGAAAUGCCUGGUCUUGCAUUUCAUUGAAAUGUGGAGAUUUUAACGCCAGUCAUGAUUGAGAACCAUUGCAGUCUACAUUUAGAAAAGAACAUCAUCAACAACAAGGGUUUCUGAUAUAAACAACAAGAUAAAGCUGAAAAUAUCUGAGGAUGAAGACAGGUGCAGAAGCCACCCUGGCCCAGACUAAUGAUGGCUGAAUAAUUCCACAUGGGGCAUCUGGAAGAAUCAAGAGAGACAGGGCAUUGUUUAGAACCAGACACUCAGAGGCAAUGUCUUAAAGGUGAGAACAAACAACAGAGCUAGACUUUCUCUGAGUCUGACUGACAGUGUCAAGGAAUAUAUGGCCAGUUCUCUACAAUGGAGACAGCACCAGGAGAGAAAGAUCUCAGAACCAAGUGAGAUGGAGUAGGACAUUUACUGAAGAAUAGAAAACCAGAAUUAGGGAAGCAGAGAUAAGACAAGGACCCAGUGGUGAGAAAAAAAGGCCAAAAAGGUAAGGAAUCGGGCUGAUGGAAGAAGUGGCUCGGCCAGGCGCGGUGGCUCACACCUGUAAUCCCAGCACUUUGGGAGGCCGAGGCGGGUGGAUCACGAGGUCAGAAGAUCAAGACCAUCCUGGCUAACACGGUGAAACCCUGUCUCUACUAAAGAUACAAAAAAUUAGCCGGGCAUGAUGGCACACACCUGUAGUCCCUGCUACUCAGGAGGCUGACGCAGGAGAAUGGCGUGAACCCGGGAGGCGGAGCUUGCAGUGAGCCGAGAUCGCGCCACUGCAUUCCACCCUGGACAACAAAGCGAGCUCCGUCUCAAAAAAAAAAACAUAAAACAAAAAGCAAAAAAAAACAAGUGGCUCAGGACUGAGGUGUAAAUGAUGAGGGUUUGAUCAUGCUGUGUAUGUAUUCUAGGAGUGGUUGUUGCCACUUAAAAAGGGAUAUAAUUUGUGCAAAACAUCUACAAUCAGAAUCAAGGCAACAAAUCUGUUGCAAUGGUUUAAUAUAAGCAGCAAAAAAGAUGAACAGAACAUCUGUUUCUAUCAGAGACCUUUGUCUUCUGAAUAGCUGCUCUUGAGACUGGUGUACUAGGUAUCAGUAGUGGCAAUUAAUGAAGGCAACAUGGAAUAAGCAACAAGUUUUCCAGUAAAUGGACAAUGUAGCAUCAGAAGUUAGAUGCUGAGUCAGAAGGAUGAAGUCACUCCAUUGGAAUCGCCAUACCCAAGUCUAGACCUGAGCAAUAUCAUGAAAUCCUUCUGAUGAAGAAAAGGGACCUGAUUUGUUGGUUAUUAUUCCUAUUGUUAUAUGGUCAUGUUAGUUAUCUAUUGCAGCAUAACAAGUCACCCCCAAAGUGUUGUACUUUAAAUUAAAAAUACGUAUAUUAUGUCACAGAAUCUUUGAGGAGCAGGGAUCCAGGAGUGGCUUAGCUAGUGCUUCUGGCUUGGGUUAUCUCAUAUGGUUGCACUCAAAGGUCUUGGCAAAGGCUGAAGUCAUCCAAAGGCUUGAGUGGGAUAAAGGAUCUGCUCCUCAGCUUAUUGCUGGCAGAGGCCUCAGUGCCCACCACGAGGGUCUCUCCAUAGGGUUGCUCACAACAUGGCAGCUGGCUUCCCCUAGGGAGAGAGACAGAGAGAGAAAGAAAAAGCAUAACUAAGACAGAUCUUUUAUAACCUAACCUCUAAAGUAACCUACCAUCAUCCUUGCCGUAUUAUGUUGGUCACAGGCCAACACUGGUACAAUGAGGGAGGAGUGAUAUAAAUACCAGGGUAUAAGUAACAGGAGGUAGGACUCCAUCUCAGAGACUGGCUACCACAUUGGUUAUUGCUGUUAUCUUUAUUUAUAAUUUCUUUGGUGUCUCAAAAACAUCCACAUUGUAGAAAUGAAGAUACUAGGAUUCUGAAAGACUUUUUUUGUUUGUUUGUUUUUGUUUUUUGGUUUUUGGUUUUUUUUUUGAGACGGAGUCUCGCUUUGUUGCCCAGGCUGCAGUGCAGUGGCGCGAUCUCGGCUCACUGCAAGCUCUGCCUCCCAGGUUCACGCCAUUCUCCUGCCUCAGCCUCCUGAGUAGCUGGGACUACAGGCGCCUGCCACCAUGCCGGCUAUUUUUUUGUAUUUUUAGUAGAGACGGGGUUUCACCAUGUUAGCCAGGAUGGUCUCGAUCUCCUGACCUCGUGAUCCGCCCGUCUCAGCCUCCCAAAGUGCUGGGAUUACAGGCGUGAGCCACCGCACCCGGCCUGAAAGACUUUGAACAAGGUCAUGUUGCUGGUAAGUUGUUCUUAGUUGCUGGGGUUUUCUUGGUCACAGUGGCUUUGAACUCAAUGACCAAUCAUAAAUCUUCUUUUAUUACUCAGUGGAAGUUCUACAAAACUGCAGUAGAAUAAGAAAGACAUGGACUGGAAGGUUUUCUCAAUCUGCUUGAGCCUGGCCAGCAUAUCUGGCUUAAGCCCAUUUACUUAUAAGGAAAUUUCCUUGGGCAAUAAGGAAGCAGCUGGAUUAAAUCUUUUGUCCAUGCCAUAAAUCAAAACUAUUCUGUUGUCUCUACUGAUUCUCAGAAUAAGGCCUCCGGGUUUAAAACCUCACUCAGUCUUCUAUCUGAAUGAAAUUUACAAAUAUGAUUUAAUGCUGUUUAAGCUCUAAGGAAGCUAAAUUAUGCAUGUAUAGGUCAUUCGAAUUAUAAAGACAUAAUUAUAGGAUGACAAAAUUUAGGAGCAGAAAUGUAUUUAGAAAAUUGAUGAGAGGUGGAAAGAGGAAAAUGGCAAGAAAAGGAAAUGUAAAAUAUAAGAAAAGGCAUGUGUGAGGGGAAUAAUGAUGCAACCAAUUGCUUCAAGUGACACAUGUUAUAGACCACCUGCCAUAAACACCCCCUGCACUUUGGAGUGAAGCCUCAGGCUGCUCCUGCCAGUCUUCUGUAUUUGAUCCUUAUUUUAUGAACACGUUCUUUACAAAUAACCUCUUUGAUUCUUUUUUUUUUGAUUAAAUGAGACAUAGCAUAAAUUUUUUUAAAUGCCCUCAGCCAUUUUAAUCCCUUCUCAUGGGAAUUUGUGUGCAUCCUGCCUCUAGAUAUUUUAUGCAAAUAUAAGAAAUUUUGUAUUUCUUGUUUUGAUAUUCUGUAUCAGACAGUAAUUUUUCCUUCUUUUUCUACAAAUGAUAAUGUAUUGUACAUAUAAUUCUA
rnacentral:lncRNA from 10 species